AGACCUACUUUUCUACCAACA
rnacentral:miRNA from 1 species